CCUACGGGUGGCAGCAGUGGGGGAUAUUGCACAAUGGGGGAAACCCUGAUGCAGCGACGCCGCGUGAGUGAAGAAGCAUUUCGGCGUGUAAAGCUCUAUCAGCAGGGAAGAAAAUGACGGUACCUGACCAAGAAGCCCCGGCUAACUACGUGCCGGCAGCCGCGGUAAUACGUAGGGGGCAAGCGUUAUCCGGAUUUACUGGGUGUAAAGGGCGCGUAGACGGUUAUGCAAGUCAGGAGUGAAAGCCCGGGGCCCAACCCCGGGACUGCUUUUGAAACUGGAUGACUGGAGUACAGGAGGGGCAGGCGGAAUUCCUGGUGUAGCGGUGAAAUGCGUAGAUAUUAGGAGGAACACCGGUGGCGAAGGCGGCCUGCUGGACUGCGACUGACGUUGAGGCUCGAAAGCGUGGGGAGCAAACAGGAUUAGAUACCCGUGUAGUC
rnacentral:rRNA from 1 species